GGGGAUUUAGCUUAGUGGUGUAAGCACCUGCCUGGCAGGUGUGAGGUGAUAAGUUCAAUUCCCA
rnacentral:tRNA from 1 species